GGUUGUAUAGUGUAGCGGUUAGCACGCGAGAUUUUGAUCACUUUUCGAAGUUUCUCGAGUCCUGGGUUCGAGCCCCAGUACGACCU
rnacentral:tRNA from 1 species